rnacentral:lncRNA from 1 species
GCCUACACAAACAAAAAAAAGUCCUGUUACCAACAGUACACAGGGUAGGGGCUUAGUUUGCCAAUACUUUUAUAAAAAUAUAUACUGAAAAAGAUUCAUCUUGAGCUGCCCAUGUAGGCUGGAUAAAACAAUCAUGGGGAACAUGGAGGUCUUGGCAUUCUUCCAGAUCAACAAAACCAGAUCCUUAGUAUAAUUUCGCAGAAAAAUUAUGCUCCAUUUAUGCAUCCAAGUUGCAACAUAAAAGAAUUGAGAUCCGGAUUGUAUUUAAUCAGGUAACUAGAAAUCGACCAACACCUGAACCAUGCAAAAACAACUUCAAGGUAUCAUGCAACUCAUUAUGAAGCAAAGAAUGUCCGACAAAGAUGAGAACCACUACCAUCAAGAAACCUCAAAUAUGUAUCCUUUUCUGCAAGAAAUAACGAGUAUAAAGAAAAUGUUAACUUAGCAAACAUUCACAUGUCAAGCAGGAAAUUCCUGUGUGAAAGAAAAACAUUUUUUUUAAGUUUAUCUCCAGACAUGGGAAGCAGGGCAUCCAACCAAAAGAUUUAUCUCUGCACCCUACGAGAAGAUAAAGUGAAGGGAAAGAAGAUGCAAUUUCCGAAAAUUCUACAUCUAUUCUGCAUACAUGCAUUUUGAUAUUCGAAAGAUUUCAUCAAAACAAAAUUUACAUCGCAUAUGAAUGGUAAGUAAUGCUGUCAUUAAGGAGUGUUCUCAGAACAGGAUGAAUAAACUUAACAUCGUCGGAGAGAAUCAUUUCUUCAGGAAAAAGUUGAUAAAAGCCAGGUCCUAAUAUUUCAACGUUCCUGUCUGGUGUAAAACAAUGGGCAUUAUCUAAACUUCAGCACAUCGUAUCAUUACCCGGAAAUUUUAAAGUACAUACACAUUUAUGUUACCCUAUGUCAUCAAUUAUAAAAAGAAUCUAUAGAGUCUCUGGCUGUUAUGCUAGCAAUCAAUUUGAUUACAUAAAAUACACUAUCUCAGCAUGCCUAUAUGCUAGUUUUCUGUGUUUUUGCUCCAGGUUAAACGUUUCAAAGACACAUUUCUUACUUGAAUCUGAUUUCGAUACUGUGCUCUAUGUUAAUGCAACAUAAAACAACUGGUUUUGAGUGAAGCUGUAUUCAUGAGCUACUAUAUUUUCCUCCGAAGGUAUUUAUGGAUAAUUAUGUUUCAUUUUCGUACCACCUUUAACAUAUGUCCAGGGUAUAGAAUCUGAAACUUUCCUAACAUCAUCCAGUUUAACUGAUAGAUUCUCAUGUAUUAAACUGAAAAACAAUCUAUCAGACACAUAAAACAUACACUUGGCAAGAUUCUGAUAAGGUUCCUCUGGUAUAUGCGUAUAAAAGGAGAGAGAUAGGGUCCAACCGUAUCCUGAACAGUUACAGACUGAUAACAAGAAGAGAACAAAAUAGAGAAAAACAAUAAGAGAAUGGUAGAAGAACAGGUAGACCACUAUAUGUUCCGUCUUGCCGAAUGUAGCCCCAGGCCUCUCAUAUACAGUCAGUCUCCUCUCCUCUAUUUACUCUGCCUCUUCUGAUUCUUGAUAUCUGAUCUCGCUUUUCCUCUAAAUUGCGGUUCCCUCUUUAUAAGAGUAACCUUAAACUUUGAUUUCCCACCACUCCUUUCUUGAGCACAUGACACUGCAUGUGCUCUUUUUAUUAUCUGCUAUUUAUGCAGGUAUUCUUACCCUUUCCAUGAUAUGUACUCAUGAGAGUCGUAUCAAAUUCUCCAUUAUUUAAAUAGUAAACAAGUCAUGAAAAAUCAAAGAACAUUCUAUAAUACAACUAAUGUAAAAAAAAACUAUUAAAUUACUCUGCAGUUUUUAGUUUUUGACUGAUGCAUCUUACCAUUGCCUCCCAUGCCUGAAGAAAAUCCCAAGAACAAUACACUACUAAAGAGUUGGAGAACUUUACAAGUCUAUCUUUUAAAGGGUAUAUAAAACAUAUACUCUACAUCUUCCAUUCAUAAAUGGCAUCGUUCAGUUGCAUGUACGGUUGUAGUUAGUUAUUUACAGAUAUUGGUAAAAAUUCCCAUCAGACUCAACAUUGAGUUCAUGAACUUCAUUCAAGAAGCACACCGAGUAAAUGACAAAGAGAUAAAUAGCUACCUGCAUCAACUUUACGCCUUUGUCACCUUCGAACUUCUCUGGAUAAAUAGAAGCAUAAAUCAUUAACAAACGCAACUUGUUUUCACGAGUAGCCUCCUGCACAAAGGUCAUCACUCAUCAGAAUUAUCUUCUUCCAGAUUGGAAAAAACCAUGGUCUAAGACAUUAAUCCCGUUCAGAAAAUUCUUUUGCAAAACAACCUGAUUUGCCCUCAGAAAAUUGAUCAUUUCCUUUGUCCCUGCAUCCCCAAAAACAAGAUCUUGCUCUAGCUGCCCAACAUCCCGAAGCCCAAGCUCCCUGAUUAGUUUGUUAAGCUUUCCUGCAAUCUGCAAAAAAGAAAGUUCAGCAUAUAAAUAAAUUAAAUUCACAAGAAAAACAUUCAUUUAACAUUUUAUCGUGGAACAAGUGACAACCAGUAUGAUUACAUAACAAUUUUCUCCUUUCCAAGACGGCUUGCAAGAGCUGAUUAAAACUGAAAGGCAUGAUUUUCUGACAGAAGAUGGUUCCAUAUGUUAUGUAUUAAAAAUAAAAAUAGGGAGACACAUUCUCACUAUCAGUUUUCGAAACAAGCGUAUGCACACAAUCAGUUGUCAGCGAAAAAUUCAUCAUUAUAGUCUUUGCGAAUCUAAAUCAAGAUUCCUUGUGGCAAAACAACUUCUCAAUUCUCUCACGAUUAAAGAAACAACAAUCCAAAGGGUCAAUAAGGUGCACAACAUUGAACAACGAUUGUUUCUUACGUAAUAGAUAUCUGACAUUUGAACUCCGGUUAUACAUACAUGCAACAUUCUGUCCAAGGAAUCAGCUACAGUCUCAGUUAACUGAGCGUCGCUUUUGGUAAGCUGUUUAAAUUUUAAAUUGGUAAUUUUGUGUUCCUAAGAGAAUGAAAUGAUAGCAUUUUUUUUUUGGUAAAAGUGUUUAAUACGCCUGAAUUUGGCAUUAUCUUCUUAUUUCAAGCAACUGCAUAAGAAUGGAAAGAGUCCUUUUUUUGGAGCAACCAAUAAACAAUGUCCAUGCACUCUCUGAACGCUCUAUGUUUUUUUCUGUCUCGUGCAUUCAAGGUUGUAUGUCUGCUUAUCGAUUUCUCCAACACAAGAAGGCAUCUGAGCAAGAGUUUAAAAUUAAAGCUUGCCUUUGUGGCAAUGUCUCGUUUCCAUGAUAGAGACAACCUAACUAAUAAAAAUGUGUGGGGUACAAUACCAAGAUCACAAAUCGAUCAAGCUGAAUAACCUGUAAACGAAAAUCUUUAUGCCUAUCCUAGUGAGUUCGGGUGACAUACAACAUUUGUCUACCACUAGGUAAAUAAGUUUUAUGCAACCAAUAGCAAGGAAAAUGCAAGUAUGAUUAUUAAGAUGUGCAUGAUUAUUGAAGUUAUUUUCACAUUUAAUAGUGAAGAUGACAUUCACACCUAAGAGAGGCACACAAAAUCCCACAACUUGUUUAGAGUUCCACUGUAGACUGAUAACUUUGUUAUGUUAUUAUUGAUAGUGGUUGAAAGUUGUGAUUUUCUUCCUAUAAGAAUGGUUUAAAAUUUAGGACUGAAAAUAAAGAAGCACCCCCACUUGUAUCAAGUUAGAUGAACCAAGAAGAUAUCUAAUAUGAGGAAGAAAACUUCAAUAUGGAUGCAUACUGUAUAAUUUUAGAAAAGUAAUGACUGUUUGACGGCAAUAUCUCUUCUCUUGGCAUGCACAACAUCAGUUCUAUAUAGAAGAGUAAUGAGAAGAUUAUUUAUCAACCUAUGGAAUAAGAUGAAGAUUAAAUUAUAUUAUAAAAGUAAAAUUCGUUAUAAAUGUAUAUUGAGAAGGGUUCUCGUAAGAUGUUGAUGAAGCUACAAAAAUUCGUCCAAGUUAGAAUCAACAUCAAGAGAAAUCUUAUUCUUCGUGUUCAUCAUGCUAGUACUCAGGGCACGCCUAACAGUUUUCUCUCAUACCAAAAGCCAACACCACAUUGACUUCAUUCCUUGGGCAAGCUACCUAAUGAAUCUCAUUCAUGAAUGAGUCCUAAGGAGCAUAAGACUAUCUAAGAAAAAUUAGACGGUUUGAUUAAAACGGGCUAGCAUGAGAACAUAUUAGUCUGUAUAUAUCCAGCUUUACAUAUAACAAAGAAUAUUAAAAACUAGAAAAUGUCUUGAUAGUCAAGAAAAAAACAAUGUUACUAAUAAAUAUACAUAUUCCCUGUAUUGGAAUAAAGGUAUACUAGAAAUGAUAUUUAAAUAGCUGUUUUGCCAUAUUUUUCAGAUGAAGUUUAUGGUAGAAUAAAUACAUUGGUUCAAAAGUGAGGAUAUAAGUAAUGUUAUCACAAGAGAUGCAACUAAUAGCAUUUAUAGAAAAAAGGCACAUUGGAAGCGAACCACCAAUUAGAUGGUGUUUUAUGUAGUGGCGCAAACAAUAAACAACCCACAGAAAAUAACAGGUAUGGAGAUAACAGAUAACAGUAUAGAAAGAACAACGAUACUGAGGCCACACUCACAAAAAAUUAACUGCUCGGGAGAAAGAAGUAUUGAAAAGGGAAACGAGGGAAAAGAGGAAGUGGUAGUAACCCUAACGCGGGGCUCAAAGGCGCCCCCAACCUCCCAGGUUCAUUCCCUUAACCCUAAACCCCCUUUGUAUAUAUAGCCCGUGGUCUAGUCUGCUAAGUGGGCUGGCCCCUGGCCUUCCUUCGAGAGUACAUUAGGCCUAGUGGCCUAACACAAACAUAGCAUAAAUGAGCACUGCCUGAUCUACCAAGAAUUUGAUCACCAAGUACUACAAUCAAUAUUCAAACUAUUAUUCAAAAAACGCAUGUGCCACAGAUAGCAUUUGUCCAAAAAUUUAAUUUCAACUUAUAAACAUUAAUCAGGUCGACUAAACCAUGUGGUGAGUACACUUGUAAAAUUGUUGCACAAUGACUAUGCAAACUAAAAUAAAGGGGUUUAUUUGUUUCCAAGAAUCAUAUAGGCUAACAAAGACUUAAUAUUGACAACAUGUAAGGUAUUAGUCAAUAAGAGGAUUUCAUUUAGAAGAAGAGUUUUUGCUUUCGCAAGUCCUUGGUAAGCCAUACAAAAAACAUUUUAUAUUAGUGGAAGAAUAACAUCCCAUUAAGGGUGUAUCAAAAUAGAAGGGCUGGUGGAAGAACACUACUAUCGACCGCACCAUGUAAGACAUAACGAACUCUCAAUGCAGCAACUUUUCGUAUGUCAUAACCCAUGCAGGACUGGCCUUUGGUAGAUUUAACUGUCUUUUGUCUUAAGGAUGUCCUAUAUAGAACAAGCAAACCCCUGUGGUUUCUAAAAACAGGUUAACUUCAUUAUAUGAUAAAAAGACAAGUAACAUAGUGCACAUGGUUAAUUUUUCAAACAAGUGGUUUGUUUAGAUAGAAUACAUAAUCAAUUACUUCUCUGACACCAAAUUCUUAUCUCACUUCUGUCUUUCCCUAUGGACGGUUUGACACACCCAUGAAACUGGCGACCAUUAAACUAAUGAUCCAACUGAAUUGACAAGAAAGACAUUGGAGAAUUAUCAUCAUUGCAUAUUGAAGGGGUCAACACAAAUUGGAGGAUUCUGCUGUAGAUCUAGGAGCAAUCACUGAUAGUUCCAUGGUUAACCAUAACACAAUAAGACCUCUUUUUCCCGUACAGUUUCCAUCCUAACUUUUUUUCAACUUAAUAUAUUCAGAAAAGCUGCUAAGAAACACAAUUAAAAUUUAGAGCAUGACUGAAUAUGUCAAAUUUAUUUAGGAAAGAGUGAAGCAGCAUCUUUCAGUAAUGUAUGCUCGGUGCAAGGCAUCAUCAAACAAAAAAGGCCAAAAAAAGUUUUUUCAAGCCAAGAACUCAUUGUCUGCUUACAAAAGAAGAGAUUUCCAAUGGGCAGUGACAACAAAAUGAAGGCUAAAAAGUAUAGACCGUACAAUGUUCUGAACAGCAUCAAUAGCAAUGUAUAGGCCAUUGAUUUACAAAGAAACAAGGUCAUUUAUUUCACAUUUAGUGUCAUUGAUUUUCAUGUUUACUAUCUACAAAAAAAUGAAGUUUUGUCACAGCACUUAGACUGAUAUAUACAACAAAAUGAUAGCUGAAUGACUCAGAGUAGAACUAGCUGUAGAGUAAGGACACUUGACUUGGUAAUUGCUACAUCGUAAGGAGGAAAUUGAAAUGGAGAUAUAACCCAGAAUGAAAGAGCCCAAGAGAUCUAACUCAAGAUAGAAAAAUUAGAGGCCCAAAUACGAAUUUGAGUCAUAAAGUGUUGAAAAAUAGCCUAAGUUGUCAUAGGUGACAUGGAGGUCCGAAAAGUUACGUUUGUUAUUUACUUUAGAAGGUACUAUAUCUCUUUAUCCUUCUCAAAUGUACUCCAAGCCUAAGCUUUAAAUACUGUCAGAAUCUAUUUGAAGUUAUUUCCUUAUUUUAUGUCAUUUCCUCUUUAUAAAGCAGGUUGUGUCCUCAUCCUUCUAAAAUAUACUUUAGGCCUUAGAUUUAAAUGCUAUCAGAGAAUGUUUUAGGUCAUUUCCGGAUAGUCAGAGCAUGCCCUUAAGAUCUGUUCAAGAUUUUACAUCUCCUUUCUUGACCUAUAUAAAGGCCCCUAUUGUAACCUAAGAGACAUUGUUUGACGCAUUAAGUUUUUCUCUUCUAUGAUAGUUAUUUUCAUUUUCUUGUGGAUUCAAACGCAUUAUAGAUUCAAGAGUUAAAAAUUCCGAAUCUGUGAAUUCAAAAGUUGUUUUUUUCUCCAAAUUUUGAGCUUUAUAGAUUCAAAACCAAAAACUUAUUAUCUUCCAUGUUACCAUACAUCAUUUCCAAGGAAAAGGAACUUCUUUGUGAUAAAAGUCUAAAACACGCUAGAAUAGUUUUGGAGAGUCUAGUUUUUAUAGUGGUGACAGCCUUUAGUAUAACAAUAAUUUUUUGGGAUGGUAAAAACUUUAUGACUGUAAUUGUCAUAGUUUUUUGGAAAGUACUAGAGUGCUCUGUACCUCAGACUGUGAGAGGAAAGUUAAAAGUUCUUCUGGUAAUCGCUUCUAUUAAAAUGUUAAAAAUUACAGCUUUGCAUCACUAAAAUAGCCAGAAUAAUAUCUUUUUCCAAUUAAUGAAUUUUGUACGUUUUUCCUUCUUUAAAGAAAACACAUGUAACAGAGAGGGACCCUUUCCAGAACCAACAAAUACAAUAUGUACGUUCCAUUCCAAUUCUCUAUAGUUUCCCUUUUUCUUUGUUGAUUAUUCAAGCUUGCUUGUUAGUAAUUCAGCUUAAACCGCAUUGCAGUGGAUAGUCACAAGCAAUCCACAGUGAGUAUCUGGUGCCAGCGGUCACCGGCAAUUGAUUUCAAGGUCAGGGUUUCUCCCAUUUAUUUAUUUUGUGUUGUCAGCACUACCGUACUCUGUUUCCCUUUCAUUCUUUCUAAGACACUAAUAGCUUUCUCUUAGUCCAGCCAACCCUAGAGUCAGCUGCACGCACUUGCAUCAGCCAUUCUCUACUGAUUUUAUUUCAUUAUUUUUAAUAGCAUACCGAAAGCUCUGAUUGGGAAGCAGUAGUGUGCGUAUCACUACAACCAAAUGUAUGAAAUAUUCUGAAACUAAUUGAAUAAUCAACUGAACGUCACAUACAAGGCGCUAGACUAAAACAAGUCAAGAACAAGAAAGCCAGGAAAAAAUUUCAGAAAUAGCGAAAGGUUCACAGAAAAUCUAAAAAAAAUAAAACCAUCAGUGUUGGUUCCAGAGAUUUUGGACCUCGGCACCCCAGAAAUAAAGUUUACAACCCCUGACAAAUUAGAGGUUUCCCAGCCACAUUUCUUCAAACUCCAUCAAAGUCUAUGGUGGCAAAUCCAAGUUAUCUAAAUAAAAUCAGGCUCAGACGACUAAUAGGAUUUCAAUAUUUUUAGUCCCAGGUACAGAAACAAAAUGACGUGGCAUUUAGAAAAAGACAGUGACCCCUCUAUAUUUCAGUUUCUGCCAAUACUAGUCUCCUUUUUUGGCAUGAUCCUGAUGUCAUCUUAUAGAUUAAAAUCAAGGUCUAUCUGGGUCCAUCUCAGAAUAGGCCUACACCAAGAAAUGCCCCAUCUUCCAUCCUCCUGCCCACACGCCAGUGGUUUUAGGAUAAACAGGUGUUUCCUUGCUCCUGAGUCAAUAGUUCUCUUUAUCUAGAUGAGCAAAACUGGAGUUCUGCAAACCACUUAGGUCUGUUCGUUCAGUCCAGAUGCACUAGCAUAAGCGGCCUUUCUGUGCACAGGGCAUUCUCGGAGUCAGCAUACACCACAAGAAACUGAAGCUCCAAAAGUUAUAAAAGGUAUCGUGCCUCAUAAUCCUGAGACAGUGAAUGCAAUCCCGCUGGCUAACAAUACAGUGUUGAGGAUGACAAGGAUAUCUGAGUGACAACAUGAGACUGUGUUCUGUGUCUAGCUGAGAUGGAGGCACCUUAGUGUUUGAGUCUUAACAACAGCGGUAACGAAUGUCCCCUGCACAACCACACUCAUUGGCUCCUACACUAGAAAGUAAUUGGAUCUCAUGGACCGAUUACACUAUUACCUAUCUGACCCCACCUAAAACAGGUCUUGACAUUUCUCAAACCCAAGCCUAGGCCAAAUGUGGUAGAUCCUCAGGACAAAAAGCACUAACCUACAUCUGACUACCUUAGCUGCAGUUAAUGAUCUCUACUGUGACUGUUCUUCCAACAUAACAUAUUGCUUCAUCACCGUCGACAUCAAAUUAUAUUUUUUUCCACAUUGGAAAUCACAAGAGUAAGUAGCAGCUAUCACCGUAAUCAAGUGGAUAAAAUUAUUUCCCUCUUUAUUCAUUUAUAUCACUGCAAUUUCAUUUAUUUCAUUGCCAUACUUUAUCCCUAAUCUCCAUCAGUUGUUCCCACCGUUUUGAUCAUGAAUACGGUAUAGCAAAUCAUACUAUGCUAAUUCCUGAUAACAUGUUCAAUAUUGAGAUCAGCUGAGCAACCAAACCUCUUUUCCUAUUUGAAAUUGUAUAUCUUUGUAUGUUUACAUUACUUUUAUUAUUAAUAUAGGUGACAUGAAAAUAGCACUAAAAUAUAAAAUUUUACCAGACAAAAUUAUAUGGCUUAUGCCAUAAUGGCAUGACUCUAUCCAGCAAUAAAUAGAAACUGCCGCGAGACAUUUGAAUCAGAUGACUCACUUUGUCAAUCACAUUCAAAGCAGUUGUCUGUUAAGUAAUGUUGCUAGAAAAAAAAGGCUAGCUUCCCAAAGAGAAUAAAUAAAAAAACCAACGUGCAGAAGAAGUAACUAACAUCUACAUGCAGGGAAAGCUUGUCAACUUGCUCACUAUAUUGAGGUAAUGCUUGGACCAUUUUCUGCAAAUCUCUUGUUGAAAGUUCACCACCACCUCUGUAAGAAGACAGAUUAACAUAAUUUUAUACGUUAGAAAUGGUGUAUAAACCAUCAGAUAUGUCCAAGAAAAAGAUUGCAGUAAAAAAUGAGAUCAAGGCCAAUGAUGGAUAUUAACAAACAACUAAAAGUCCAAAUCGUUGCAUGAAAGAAAAGAAUCAUUCAACAUCGUUAUAUAAACAGAGUCAAACAUUGAACUGCAUGGUACCUUCAAUAAACAGCAGAGGCUUUUAUUAUUUAACACUUUCAUUUCAAUAAAGAAUCAAUUGUACUCUGAUUGCCUUACAACCAUGUCAAUAAAAACUUGCAAGCCAUAGAAGUCACGAAAAUAUAGCCAAGAAUUUACCUAUGAAAAAUGGCCUUUACGAAAUGAAUUCCAUAUGUUUUCACAAAGUGCGAGCAUAACCCAUAAAACACAUUUACAAACAUUUCAUGGGGGAAUAUAUUAUGUCUCAAGAAGGGUUGACAGUUAUUAUUUCAAAUGCAUAUCUACUAAAAUGUUCACAAAAUUUCAUUAAAUAAAUAAUCAAUAAAAAAGAGAUUAAUUUGGCUCUAUCUUUAUUAUUUUAUUAAAAUAUUAUUCUUCAUUUAUUCUCUUAAUAUAAAUUUUCCCGUAUUUGAUAAUAUGAUUUAUCCGGAUGUAACCAAUUGAUAAUUUAUAAUUUUUAAAAUAAUUUUAAUAAAUUUUACUUAAAUAGUUGUUUUUAUGGUUUUAGUAUCAUACAUUUUAAAUAUCCUCUUUCAUUUCUAUCAUUAGUUUAUUAUUUUAUUAACUAAAAAUAUUUUAACGCAUUUACAAAACAUUGGCUACGUAUAAACAACCUUGGUCACUUAAAAGCCAUGAUAGAAACAUGGUUUAUUUAGUAUAACAGCUUGAAUGUCUUAACGUAUCUUGAAAGGACACAAUUAUGGCACAACACGUCAAAAAGAUGAGAAGUGUUCACUCCCAAUUGAGAUUUUGAACAAUGGACACAAAUCUUCCAAAAUCUAUCAAUAUGUAAUAAAUUUAGAUGUUUCUGGAAACCAGUACUUUCAAGAAUUCAUUAAUGAGUGACACAAACAAGUUUCGUAUAAAUCUAGCAAGAUUGCAAUUAAAAUCGGAAGAAGACACUGUUAUGUAAAGCAUUGAUAUGGUCCAUUUCCAGCAAUGACUUCUGAGAAACGUGCCUCUAGCACUCUCAUAGAUGGAUGAGGGAUUCAUGAACCAAACGGCAUCCUUAAACCAAGUUAGGACACCUAGACCCUCCAUAAUCAGUUGUUGUGGCUUGUGUAAAACUACAAGAAAAAGAAUAAGCAAAAACUCACCUAAAAUGAGCAUCACUGGAUAAAUGCAUUCCGAAAUCCAGCACAGUAUCUAUUCAUUUUUGCCUUUAUAACGCAGCCUUGGCAUAAGGUUAAAAAGGCAACCAAGAGGCAUCAAAGCUCGUCUUAUUUAGGCAAAACUAAGACACCAAUAUAUUAUUUGAAACGAAUUCCACCAGUGAACACAUCCACCGUGACCAUAUGCCCAACCAGAAAACUAAUAAGCCAACAAAGAAUCCGAGAGCGAGUCCAAAUUCUCAGUAAUUCUCAGUACUCUAUCACUGAACUCGUGUAGUACUACAGUAGCGGAUUCUUCUUGCUAAGCAUGUGUGUGGUUUGCCAGAUUUAUUGGAUAUGUUCUACAGGUAACAAAACAAAUAUCUAGAAUCAAAUAUGGAUAAUAAUGAAAAGCAAAUUUUGGAUUGAUAAUUCGCCAAAAUUUGACCUUAUAAGCUUUACAAUCAUCAAAAGAUGAAUUUCUUGAGCACAGGAUUUCUCAGUUGCUAAUUUCGAUAAACUGUGUAAAUGGUUAUCUUGAUGUUAUGCUGACAAACUAAGCCUAUAUGUUCUAUGGCUGUUUACUGAUUUCAUACAUUAACUGAGCGAACAAACAUCAUUCUUUUUACGUGAAGAACCAUCAUUCGUUUGUUUGCUAACAACACUCAGGUACUCGGCAAUUGGUAAAAAUGCUUUAACAGAAACUAGUUUCAGCACUUCAAAACGACAGAGCAGCAGACAGUUUUUUAUUCCAUUGGUAAUCCUUAGGACAAUGUAAGCAUAAAGUCCCACAGAUUUUAACCUCCAAAGCGAUUUCAAUAAAACCUAAUUAAAAAUGUGCAUCCACAAAUGAUGCAAGUAAAAAAACUUACCUAGAGCCAUGGUGGAUUUGUGCUGCUUUGUUCUUUGAUAAGAAAUUCGUCAUUUUCUCAUGUAGCUUUUCACUGGCCUGAAGAGUAGUUCAUUAAAUCAGAUAACACUCAGAAGAGCAUCAACCUAAAAGGAAAUCUGAAACAAAAAAACACACAUCUGCAAUAUGCGCAUGACGAAGUUCAAGCCAAAUUGGAUCGUGAUCCUCCAGAAGGACCUCCUUCUUUUCAGGUGGACCCCCUGUUUUGCUCGGAACCUAAUCAAAACAAAAUAUUUUUUAACACUGAGUAAUUCACCUAUACGAAAAUUGAUUCAAUCCUUGGAGCUAAUCUCAUGAAUAUCUUUAUUAAGAUAACAUGAAGUAAAACAGCUUUUGCCAUUGCAAAAAACACCACCUACUAAAAUGGUAUAAAAGUAGAGUUUACAUAAGAAUUUAUCACAGAAAUGACAUGGAUAACUAUAUCUAAUGAUUCCCCAUUGAAAUACAUUUAGCUAAGUCAAAGAACUGCAGAAUUGAAAAGCAAAUAUUCAAGGUGGCAUCUUAUCGCAAAUUGAAGAAAAUUUCACGUAAAAUAUCCAGACCAAAGUUUAGCAUCGACUAUACUACCUCAUGAACGUACUUGUUCCCCUCCAUAUUAAGUAAAUCAUGACACAUAGCAUCAUAGGUCCACUCAUGAAUUACGGGAGCAAUCUGAAAAUAUUCACCAAAAGCCAAAAUGAAAAUCAAAUACUCAACAAAUAUAACAUUCGUUUGUUAGGCUCAACUUUUCAAACCUGAUCAAUUGAUCUGUCUACGAUAAGUAAUUCACAAGUCUCUUGCUGGGGAAAAGUGGGAAGUGUGGCUUUAUACUUCAUCAGAAAAUUCCAAACUAAAGCAGCAAGCUUUGUUGGUACAACCUCGCGAAAUGUUGUCACAGUCAUUGCAUCUUUAGAUGAUUUAGGAGCUUGGUACCGCACAUUAGGAAACUCCUGUGAACAUAGUAUUUGAUCGAAAGAAACCAUAAUCAACCAUAAGCUUAUUGAUAAAACAAACUUAUAACUACUAUACAUAAAUAGACAGAGCUUUCAUUAAACAUGACAUCAAUUUGGAAUUGAAGGCAAUACAAACCCUUUAAGAAGAAAGAAAUGAAUGUUAAGAUUCACCACCUAAAUAAGAGAAUACAAAUUCUAAUUAGUUCAUGCAAGCAGAUGAACGGUCAAUUUUGUCCAGCUGAUAAGCAUGAGAAAUCUGACAAUGACAAUUCUGAUCACGCAUCCAACAGAUGAAUUUACACAGUUUUAAAACUAUCCAAUAUAAACUGGAUACCAACACAUACCACCAAAUAAUUUCCCUUUGAUGCACUAUCCCAGAUUAGCCUUAUAAGCAGAUCUCUUCUACAUUGAUAAGCAUACUUUCAUUGAAUAAAUGUACUCUUUACGAGACACUCAAGCAAAGCACCCUUCUACAUGAAUCCUCUAAGCACAUUUGAUUUUAUCUUCACAUAAAAUUAAUGUAAGGGUCCACUUGACCUAACAAGUACUGUACUCCUAAAGAAUAACUCCACAGUAGAUUCACUGUAGUUUGGCAUUCUCGAGAGAUAGACCAAUUUGAAACAUUAACACUGCAAAUAUUUAACUCAUGAGAACAUACACAGGCAUAACCGCUUACCUUCAACGAUGCAAAAACUGUCGCAAUGCGAACUGCCAUUGUAUUUAAGCAAGAAUCAAAUUUACGAGAAUUUUCCACAUUUUCUCCAAAAAGCUCCUCUAGAGCCCUUUCAUGGUCAGUGAUAAAGCCCUGAGGUUUAAAUGAAAAAAAAAGAAUUUUUAACGGGUUGUUGACUAGUGAAAAAAAAAACAGAUCAAUGCAUACGUAUCCCAGGUAUUUCACAAAUCGUGGAACACAAAAAGAAAUGAUCAUUGGUGAGCAUUUACCUGACUAUCAAUAGCAAAAUACUCCAAGUUCAUCUGCAUAUGUUAAUCAAAAGAGUAGGAGCAUCACUAUCACAAAUGCAAAAUUUUGAUAAAGCCAUCAUUUAUCAAGAUAGAGGUCACUAUGCAAACAGCAGGAGUUGAAAUUUGUAACCAAAAAAGACUAGCAAAGUAGAUAAUGAAAAUUUUUGACCUCACUCAAUGCGCCUAUACGAGGUAAAACGCUUGUGUCACUCUUGAUUUGGGCCACUAAAUCCUUAGAAAUAGGUGAACUGAAGAAAAUAAAUGCCCUGUAAAAACUCAAAUCAGUAAACUCCACUAGAGACCAGGAUUUCUGUGAUACGUAUUUUUUUCAAAUAUGGUACGUCACAUACUUUUUGUACAGUGGGCAUCGCCCUGACAUGUCAGAGAGGAACAUGACUACGCUGCAAGUUACACAUCAAUGGGUGAGAAAACUUGCACACGAAAUUAUAAAUCUAAAUCCACUUCAAUAUUCAGAAGCAAAAAAGGAAAGAAAAAAUAAAUUUUGAAUAAUGUUAUUAACAAUCAAAUAUUAUAUUAAUUCAUAACAACACCAUACAUUAACUUUUGUCUAUAAAUUAAUACAUUAAUAAGAGCUAAAGUCAUGGGAAAAUGACCUAUUGUAUGAGCUAUUGGCCAUGCCUACAAUUAUAAAUUAUGUUUUCCUAUUUCUAAAGGUAGACUGAGGGGAGAUGUCAAGAAAAACAUUGCCUACUACACCAUUUCAUACUCUGCAACAUUGAUAGGGGUCUAGAAAGCCAAAUCACCAAUAAAACAGGUAAAGACCCAGUCUCACAGUCCUAAAAACAAAAUACAUCGCACAAAAGACAGCCAAGCACAGCAUGGUGAAUUUUACAUAAGUAACAUGGCAAAGUCUUAUGACUGUCCCACUAAGUUCUAACACAGCAAUGCACACUGAGGUGCAAAAACACAACAUCCACACAUUUUGGCUAGUUGAGAGAAGUCUUACAAAUUAUCAUUAACCUAUUUCAAAUUAUUUUUAGGGUUAAUCAAUGAAAAUGUCAUCUUGGAAUCGUUUCGAAUAAAAAAUGGUAACAAUUGUUACUGAAUCAAGUUUCUAGAAAAUUUUGACAAAGUUUAUGAAAUUUUCGCUGCAGUCAGGAGAACCGACUCCACAAAAAUAUUGAUCUCCACCUCCAUAAUCUCUCGAACAUAUUGAUCUCCACAGAAAUAGAACAAAUUUCCAAAUCAAAGGUUGGCAAUGUAAAACAUCGUAAAACAAAAAAUUUCAGACAAAAAACUUCCAUACAUAUGCCAAACAAUACUUUGCAUCAGUAGGCAAUUUAGGGCUCCAAUAUGGUUUAUAAGUGAUUGAGAAAAACAGGAUUGAUCAAACCAAUUAUCGUAACAUAAAAUUGAGCGCAAUUAUUAGCUGAGACAAGAAAUAAUAACAACAAAAAAUAAGAUCACGCAUCAAGCUCCCAGAUUCUUGCAACAACAUGCCAGAUAAGACUGACAAGAAACUAAGAAAACAAAUCCACAUUCUUAUUACUUCUCUUUUGAAGGCUGGAUAAAGUAUAUUGCAUCCAUUGACGGCAAAGGCUGCCUUCUUUUUGAAAGGUCUUCAACUACUACAAAACAAAACGUGAAUGUGUUACUCAUGUAUUCCAUUACAAUUAGAGCGCAGGACAUAAUAGAACAAGACACAAAUAUCAUAUUAAACAUGUUAGGGAUGAUGUUGUGAGAGCCUUUGACAUUAUUUUUACUCAAAGUAUAAACAUUAUGUCACCAUGAAACCAUGAAACCAGGGUCUCGUAUGUAGAAAGAGCUAAAAACUAAGCAAAGUGAAAAAAAGACGGACUUAUCAAGCAAGAUUUCAAAAUUAAUUAUGUUUCUUCUGGUUGCUCCAGCAAAGAGAAUGCACAUGGAAAAGUUCUCAUGACAUGCACAUACUCACGUGAAACUCCUUCCUCCGUAAUAUCUGCCAUCUUGCAAGAGUAGGACAUUAUUUUUGUUGUAAGUUUGUCCAUAAUGAGUACCUGGAACCAACUAACUCAAAUUAACUUAAAAUUUACCACAGUAAUCACCUUAUUUUCGCUGAGUUACCCAGUGCUCAGUCACUGAAAGAAUUUAAAAUUAGAUUAAAAAUAGCGUAACUGCAUCAGUUAUAGCACAAUUAAAGUAAUGACCAUAUGUUAAAAACCAAAAACAAGAAAGAAAGGUAGCUUUUGAAAAUAUCCAAAGGUUACCACAGUGUGAGAAAUUAAACUUCAAAAGUAACCAAAACAAGAAAAACGAGAGGAUUACAGGCCAAACGGGAAAAGAAACUAUGAAAUUAGAUUAGAAAUAAAGGAAGAUAGGUAACUAAGUCUAUCACGGUUGUAAAUUUCUCAUAUCAUUCCCAAUGGUCGAAAUGAAAAAUUAGAAGCCACAAACCAGGUAAGAACACAAAUCACAUGGAAAAGAUCGUCUUUCCCACACUACUGCAGCCAAAUUUGGCCUUAAGUGUAAACUACCACAUAAAUUAUGUUUACAGUAAACAUUAUAAGUUAUUUAACAACUGAACUCGUAAACAGAAAAUAAAUUGAAUGGCAGUAGCCAUCCCCAAAAAGUGAGGGAAAUAAUCCGAAUAACUAGGGCGUUCUCAUGGCAAGAGAACUAUUGUGAGGACUCUAGUAACCAUGCAUAUAUCAAAAGGCAUCCAUCCCCAUAAUUGAAAGAGGAAAAAAAUUAGAUGCCAGAAAAUGAAACGGGUAAGCCAAACCAACCUCAUUGCAAGCACGAGACAAAUUCAAAAAAUGAAACAGUUACAAUGAGCAUUUUAUUUAAUUAAACACAGUCCUAUAUGCUCAUAUGAAGUACCUUCCAAGCUCCUUUGGAGUCCUUUACUCUUGCAGAUCGAAGCAUCUCAUGUAACAAUCCUAGUAAAAAAAUGUCAUAAGAAUGUCAGUAUCCAAAAGCAAAAAUACUGCAUUCUCGAAAUAACAUCCAUGACUCGUAAAAUAAGAAGGAAAUGCAAAAAAUAUAAAUUUCACAUUAGAAAGACAGAAACCCGGAUAUUGGCCAAGAAUGACAGAAAAGUUUUUGCAAGGAUGAUGAAAAAAAAGAGAAGACUGGAGUUAGCUGGCAUGUUGGCACAAUCCUGAGAUUGGAUAAACAUCUUGUCGAAGAUUAACAAAGAUAAUCAAGGAAAGGAUAGUCUCACAAUUUCAUGUCUCCAUCCGUGGAAUUAUACUGCUUUUGAGUUGUGCAGUGGAUUACAUCAGAGUAAUCACAUUACUUUGUUUUCUUUCAUGUGAAGUGAGUGGAACAGCCUUCAAACAGUUUGCACAAAUAUAAGAAAGGGAUAGGCUUCCCGUCAGACACCUGUAGGAUAGAAGGACAUCCAAUGCCAACUAAACUAAAUAGAUGUGAGGUUUCGCAUCAACUACCCGAUUUUAUCCUUUUGUCACACAUCAUUUACCAAUUCCCAAGUAGUAUAGAACGAAAUAGAGGAUUUCUAUGUAUGUUUUCUACAAUCAUCCUUACAAUAUAAAUUUUAAAUAAUUAUAUGAUAAAGGCAGUUAAAUCACGAGCAGAAUGAGUAGACAUUGUCUGAUUUUAUAGGAUGAUCAGUUGACCAACACUAUGCCGGCUCAUAUCACUGUAACGAGGUAUACUUAAAAGGUUUAUAGGAGCUUUCUGAGCGCCUUAUCAUGUAGAUAUACAUGUUUCCGCAAUCUUUUUGUUGGCAAGUCUGUCAGUGUAACGUGAUACACCUAUUCUGGCCAUCAAGAAAGUAGAAAUCAGCAAGCAAAAAAAAAUUCUUUGCCCACAGUUUUUUAAGCUUACAGAAGGAUUUUCCUUUCACAUCACUGAUAAGGAAUUUAUCAGGGAGCAAGAAGGAAGGAUUUCUUCCAAAAAAAUGAGAUAUCAUAAUUGAAUACCUACUCAUUAUAAGCGCCAUCCCGACUCUAGUGUUGUCUGGCACUCAUGUAUCAUACUUUAUACCUUAUGGUUAUAGAAGUCAUGACCUCAAUCUCAACAGUAACCACGGCGUUACUAGGACGCACAUCCUCGAAUGUAACCAAAGAAUUUGCGUUUAGACGCACAGUAUCUCAUAAGGAAAGAUUCUUAAAAAUUUAAAGCUACAAAUGUUUCUUUAUCUGCACACUUUGUCAGGUUCCGUCACCCGACUAACCCAAGCCGGUGGCAAACCCAUCACAGAGGAUGCUUAAUCAAUCCCAAAAAAAAAAAUUCCGGAUACAAACCUCUCGGCUGCAACCUCCACAAUACUAAGGGGAGAUGGAACUUGGGAUUAACCCAGGGGGAUGCAAGAAAGGUGGAGAAUAGGGCUCGGAUGUUGAAACUUAUCGUUCACUCUCCCUCGUUCAUAUGUCACAUAAGUUAUUCUAUUAAAGGUCAAACGGAAAAACCGCGCCAAUAAGAUCUUGGAUUUCCACACAAUUCAGGAGAGAAAUCAGCCGCCGAAACCAGAAUCGGGUGACUCAUAGAGUGGGGAUAACGUACGGACAUCGAGAACUUACUUUCGCGGCUGAUCUGGCGGAAGGUCUUGUACUCGUUCCCGCCGGAGGAAGAUGAAUCAGAAUCUGAGAAUGACAUGGCGAUCCUCUGGUACCCUUCUCUUUCUCUCCCUCUCCCCCUCCCCCCUCCCUUCUCUCUCCCAACCUCUCCUCCCCCUUCCCUUCUCUCUCUCUCUCCCUCUCUCUUUCCCUCUCUAUUCCUCCCUCUUCGCUCCCUUUCGGUCAGACGAAGCAAGCUGGAGAGAGAAACAGAGAGAAGAGGAGGCCAGCCACGGUUGACGGAUUUGACCAAAAAUGAAGGGGAAGCAUCCUACGAAGGAAAAGGCAAAUUCGUGACAACUCCUUCCCCAGUUUUUUUUUUAAUUUGAACUCAAAUUAUUUUCACAAUUAACCCUCAUAGGAUAAAUAAUUAUCAAAAUACCAUUAAGUAACUUAUAUUAGCUAAAUGCCAUUAACAUUAGUCACCUGCAUAAAUAGGUGGGCUGAAAAUAUUCUUUCUAACUAGGAAAUCAAAUAGCUUACAUGUGUCCCAGGUGUUCCCUUUCACAAAGAAAAAAAUUAGUAUGGCUUACUUUUAUUUAAGAAGAGGGGGUAAAAAUGGCUUUACUUUAAUUUUGCUCAUCUCCCAAAAUCUAGAAGGCUCAAUUAAUAUUUCACAUACUAUUUAUGGUGCUCCAAUCUACCCAACUUACUCUUCAACCACCUUCACUAGAUUGAACAACUCAAGUCAACUCAAGUCUGCACUUAAAAAUCAUCUUCUAAAUUCAUGACUCUUAAAGGUCUAAUAGAGGAUGACCUCUCAUUCCUCCUACAUUCAUGGUGCUAGGGGACCGAAGGAGAUUAGUACUUGUUAGAAUCUANNNNNNNNNNNNNNNNNNNNNNNNNNNNNNNNNNNNNNNNNNNNNNNNNNNNNNNNNNNNNNNNNNNNNNNNNNNNNNNNNNNNNNNNNNNNNNNNNNNNNNNNNNNNNNNNNNNNNNNNNNNNNNNNNNNNNNNNNNNNNNNNNNNNNNNNNNNNNNNNNNNNNNNNNNNNNNNNNNNNNNNNNNNNNNNNNNNNNNNNNNNNNNNNNNNNNNNNNNNNNNNNNNNNNNNNNNNNNNNNNNNNNNNNNNNNNNNNNNNNNNNNNNNNNNNNNNNNNNNNNNNNNNNNNNNNNNNNNNNNNNNNNNNNNNNNNNNNNNNNNNNNNNNNNNNNNNNNNNNNNNNNNNNNNNNNACCAAGGAGAUUAGUACUUGUUGAUCUAUUCUACAUUAAUGUGUUAGAUCAAGCACCUUCACUAGAUUGAACAACUCAAGUUAACUCAAGUCUGCACUUAAAAAUCAUCUUCCAAAUUCAUGACUCUUAAAGGUCUAAUAGAGGAUGACCUCUCAUUCCUCCUGCAUUCAUGGUGCUAGGGGACCAAUGAGAUUAGUACAAAAGGCUAAAUAUUUAAGAAUGAGUUAUCAUUCUUGUUGCUCAUACUCAGAUCCUUGAGGGCUGAUUUCUUCUGAUUUUUCAUUCUGAAUAUAUUCAUUGGUUAUCUUUCAUUCUCAUUGAGGGAACCUUUCUUCUCAUAUUAACUAGUUUUCUUAUGAUUUUUGAGGUUUUUCAAUAAACAUUAAAUAUUAUAAAACCAAUCUUUUCACAGAGAUGGUGUUCUCAACACUAACAUUCAUUUUUUUCCGUUUUGCACCACACCUAAUAGUCACCUAUUCUCUCUCCUCAAGUUGUAACAAGCUAUUUAACACGUAGGUUAUGGCAUGGAUAAGAUGUGUAGAUAAUAUUAUACCAAAAUACUUAAAUUACAUAAAUAUUUGAAAGCAAAUAUGAUAAUCUUGGGCAUUUUCAAGGGUCACAAGAAUAUUUAAUUUAUUUUAUAAAUGAAAAAUAUAUUUUACCUACUAUCUUGAAUUGCACAAAUUCAAUGUUUUCCUCAAUAAAAAUUAUUAAGAGCAUGAACCCUUCAAUAGGAAUUUUACUUCCAUCAUGUGGUUUAUCUAUAUGUCCAUAAAUUAGUAAAACUUGUUGCUUUUUAAGGUCUGAUCACUUCUACAAUUGUGCAUCAGACAAUAUGGCUACUAAAGUGCUACCAUCAGCUAACUCAUUUCACAUUCUUAAAUUUUCGCCAAAAAAUAAUUUGUGACAUGAUCAUAUGUUUUAGCACUCUUCUUCCUCAGAUUGCUCAUAAUUGGCGUGAUGACAUUGUAACAAGAACCCAAGUGCUCCAUGCAGUCCUCCUACUGAGCUCUUACUCUUAAAUGGUAGAUUCUAUCCUCAGUUGUUCACAUUCUAGCUAAUCAGACAAAUUCAAACUCCACGAUGAUCUUGAGGUGAUAAAGUCAACGGUGGCCCUCUCAAUUAUCUUCUAGAGGGCAGUCUCUUCACUCUCCCCACACAGAGUGGGUGGGCCGACUGGUGAUCUUAGGCAGCAAUUUAGACCACUGCAAAGUGACUCACAAGAACCUAGAGAAUGAACACGAUGGGGAUCCAGAAAUAUGAAUAGCAAACAACAAAACAGAGAGUGCCAGGGUACUCUGGUUAGCCAAGUCCAGUCACGAGCAUGUCAACCUUUUGGAGCACUUCUUGACCUAAUUAUUUCCGGGCAAGAUGAACGAACUCUGGCCACCGACCACGAGCCAAAUACAAACACCACCACCACCUACGCAGACUCUUGAGACAGACGGACUGAUAGACUGGACACGGAAGACCAGGGGAAAGAAAAGCAAACUGGAACGAAGGCGGCUGGAAUUGGCUUUCAAAGGAACCCAAGGUCAGCGGAUCA